rnacentral:rRNA from 1 species
UACGGAGGGGGGCUAGCGUUGUUCGGAAUUACUGGGCGUAAAGCGCACGUAGGCGGCUUUGUAAGUUAGAGGUGAAAGCCCGGGGCUCAACUCCGGAAUUGCCCUUAAGACUGCAUCGCUAGAAUUGUGGAGAGGUAAGUGGAAUUCCGAGUGUAGAGGUGAAAUUCGUAGAUAUUCGGAAGAACACCAGUGGCGAAGGCGACUUACUGGACACAUAUUGACGCUGAGGUGCGAAAGCGUGGGGAGCAAACAGG